AUUUCUUUCCCACUCUCUCAUUCUCCCAAACACAGAGUGUACCAUGACCACUGCUGGGACCCUCUUCCACUCAAUCUGACCAAGAAGGAUUUUUAUAUAAUUCACCUCUACUCUGGAGAUCCUUCAGAUCUAAUCCACAUGGAUCACCCACUCGUGGGGGCAAGCAGUACCGAGAAUGGCUCACAUCUUCCUGCCUACAUCAGAUGACAAACAUCCUCAGCUACUAUGUGGACAACCCAGGAAAAGUGAAGCUGGAAGGACAGUGUGGGACAUUAAGUGGUACACUAAGUUCAUACCAUACCUGCUCUACUCUGACUCAUCAAAGUCCAGUUUCUACAACCUCCUUUUCCAGGGAGCAUUUGCCUCAAGCCCACUCUUUAUAUGUGCUUUUUUUAAAUUCCCAGAAUGCCUUUAAUCCAAGAUUAGGCUUAAAAUACCAAUGUAUAAAAGGAUGAAUUUGAA
rnacentral:lncRNA from 1 species